rnacentral:misc_RNA from 1 species
CCGAGUUUUACAAACUCCCAAAACCCAUGUGAAACAUACCUACUGUUUGCUUCGGCGGGAUUGCCCCGGGCGCCUCGUGUGCCCCCGGAUCAGGCGCCCCCCGCCUAGGAAAACUUAAACUCUUGUUUUUAUUUUUGGAAUCUUCUGAGUAGUUUUUUUACAAAUAAAUAAG